GGCCGGCGGAGGCAGGGCCCGGCCCGCACCUGCGGAGCCCAGCGGAGCCCCCGCCCCGGGCGGUGCGGCGGGGCGGGAGGCAGCGGCGGGGAGCCGCGUACCGGAGGUGUCGGUGCGAGCAUUUCUUUUGGGAAGAGGCAUUUGACAGAGCACAAGCUCGGCAAAAUGCUGCCGGGCUGAAGGUGGCCAUGGGUCCUCUGCAGUAUUCAAAGACACGUCUGCUUGACUUCACUGGGGAGAUGGCCUUUAGAAGCGCUAUGCUCUAACAAUAACAUUUUCCAUCCAUCCAAGCUGAUCUGUGCAUAGCACGUACGCUUCUUCCCAGAGCGAGCGUAAUUAGUGAACAAGGAAACUACAUGACAGCUAACGGGAAGACUUAGAACUCAUUACAAAAUAGAGUCUAAACAUUAAUCUUGAACGUAUGCAAGCAGACAACACAGAUAUCAUCGGGAAGUGAAUCUGGGGUUUCAGCAUCUAAAUUUCAUCCACCCGGCUGGAUGGGAUGGCAAGUCGGAAUGAGUAAGGGCAUGUGUGAACAGCAAAGGAGGCUUUAUAUGUGUAACACAGCACUGCUUCAGAUGUCCUGCCCUGCUGAUGCACGGCCCAAGGUACCACAUAAACAUCGGGGAAGACUAUCCGUUAGUAUUUAAUGUAAUAAAGGAGAAAGGAGGCAAGAAAGCAGAAGUAGCAGGAGAAAAUUUCCUGCCAACGUAGCAAGGACUGAUCUCAACAAAAGCAGCUCCGUACUUGUCUUUUACCAGGCACCCUGGAACACAGUAGAACGGACAUAGCAGAAUAUAUAUAGGCAGAUUUUCCUUACAAUGGCUACAGCGCUGCCAGUGCAUUCCUGGAACGUGGAAAUACAUGGAAGCCAGCGUCAGCAAUGAAGAAAAGCAUGCUGUGCCUAAUGUACCAGAAGAGCUAUUCAAGAACUCAUCCUUACGUAAAAAUAACUCCGAAGAAGCUGCCAAGAUCAGUGUAAGCUCAGCUUCGUAGCUUCACGGGUAUCUAUCUACCUUGCACGCGCGGCUUCACCCUGCACGCCCGGAUACAACGCCCAGUUGUUCCAAGUGAGUGGUUCCAGCUCAUCACUUCAUUUGCACGUUCAGGCCUUUGACCCUUCGGCCCCACAGACGUCAUGGCCUGCACCAGAAACCUGUGCAGAGCAGAAAUAAUUUGGAUGCAAAUUAUAUGAGAGAACAUCUCCGUUUCUAGCCAUGGACACAUUCCCUCAGACAAGAAUCUUUUUCGUUGCUUAAAGAUAAGGAUAAUGCAAACCCUCUGAAGUCAGCCCAAGCUCUGUGAGCACUCUGGUUCUGUACGGCAAAUCCUGUACGGCAGGCACAGCUCCCGUAUCGGUAUCCUCUGGUCAGCCUUUGAAACACCUAAUUAUUGCACUGAAGGUGUGGGGCAGUCUGCUCACAGCGCUGUUUAUUGCACACUGUUUGCUCUCCUGAGACUCACACCUGAGAUCUGUGUGGUGGGACAUGCGCUUCUUAACUCGGGUAUAACCAGCUGUCCUGUAGAUAGCAAUGGCAGGACUAAACACCCAAACAUC